AGUGAACGCUGGCGGUAGGCCUAACACAUGCAAGUCGAACGGCAGCACAGUAAGAGCUUGCUCUUACGGGUGGCGAGUGGCGGACGGGUGAGGAAUACAUCGGAAUCUACUUUUUCGUGGGGGAUAACGUAGGGAAACUUACGCUAAUACCGCAUACGACCUACGGGUGAAAGCAGGGGAUCUUCGGACCUUGCGCGAUUGAAUGAGCCGAUGUCGGAUUAGCUAGUUGGCGGGGUAAAGGCCCACCAAGGCGACGAUCCGUAGCUGGUCUGAGAGGAUGAUAGCCCACCGGGGAACGGAAACAGGUUCAGGCCCCCUGGGGGAGGCGCCAGGGGGAAAUGUUGGACAGGGGGGGCAGGCUUGACCCACCCAUCCCGGGGGGGGAAAAAAGGCUUUGGGGUUUUAAGGCCUUUUUGUGGGGAAAAAAAAGCAGGAGUUAAUUACCUUGCUUUUGUGAGGGAACCCAAAAAAUAAGCACCGGCAAAUUUGGGG
rnacentral:rRNA from 1 species